AGGGGAGACCAGUUGGUGAAAGUGCAAGUCGAGAUUCCUAAGCGCCUAAGCACUGAGGAGAGGAAACUCAUAGAAGAGAUUGCCAACUUGAACAAGGCAAAAACAGCAAACAGUAGCAGAUAGUGGAAGCCGACUGGCUGACUCCUUUUUUCUAUUACGCUCUAUGCAUCGAUGGUUGAUGCUGUGUUGCUUACAACUGUAGCAGGCAAAUUUUUCUCUGAAUCAAUUUAUACGCGACUGAAUUUAGGGUUAGGAAAUUUUGUGGGUUGAUAUUUGUAUUUUUUACCACA
rnacentral:lncRNA from 1 species